rnacentral:rRNA from 1 species
CUUUACUGCAGCCUGGAAUUGUGUUCGGGCUUCGCUUGCGCAGGAUAGGUGGGAGGCACAGAAGUUCCCCUUGUGGGGGGAAUCGAGCCAACGGUGAGAUACCACUCUAGCGAGGCUAGAAUUCUAACCCUUGCCCGUCAGCCGGGAAGGAGACAGUUUCAGGGGGGCAGUUUGACUGGGGCGGUCGCCUCCUAAAAGGUAACGGAGGCGCGCAAAGGUGUUCUCAGGCUGGUUGGAAAUCAGCCGUAGAGUGUAAAGGCAGAAGGGAGCUUGACUGCAAGACCUACAAGUCGAGCAGGGUGGAAACACGGUCUUAGUGAUCCGACGGUGCCGCAUGGAAGGGCCGUCGCUCAACGGAUAAAAGUUA